rnacentral:rRNA from 1 species
GACGGAGGAUGCAAGUGCUAUCCGGAAUCACUGGGCGUAAAGCGUCUGUAGGUCGUUUAAAAAGUCUACUGUUAAAAAUUGAAGCUUAACUUCAAAGGUGCCGUAGAAACUUUUAAACUUGAGUAUGGUAGGGGUAGAGGGAAUUUCCAGUGGAGCGGUGAAAUGCGUAGAUAUUGGAAAGACCACCAAUGGCGAAGGCACUCUACUGGGCCAUUACUGACACUGAGAGACGAAAGCUAGGGGAGCGAAUGGG